GGCCAGUUAGCUCAGUCGGUUGAGCAUGAUGCUAACAACACCAAGGCUGCGGGUUCGAUUCCCGCUCGGUCCC
rnacentral:tRNA from 1 species